GGUGAAAAGAAAACAGUUCAAAAAGGAAGAAAAAAGAAACAGAUGGAGCCGAUCAGGAUAGCUUGAAUAGCACGUUCACAGGUUUUUCACCUAAUGCCUAAUGACAAACUAAAUUGCUGAGCCUGCAAAAAUAAAAGGAGGAAAAAGGAACAGCUGUUUGGUCAUUGAGUGGAACCCAGUUAAGACCUCCAGUUACCAGUGUUGGGGUGCUGCUCCUGGAGGACAUCUGGCCAGGCCUGGGCAAAGGAUGUGCACCAGGACGUGGAAUGGUUAAAUACAGGAAAUGGCCAAUUGGGUCAUACCAAGUCCUGCCACCUCAUAGGGGGGAACUGUUUAUUUCAAGUUUAAUCAUAUUGUUUGUUUCUCUUUAUUGAAUGUUUAGUUGGGUAUUUUUGGUUUAGUUGAUUUAGUUGAGUUAACCUGUGUUGGGGGGGAAUUCUGUUGUUUAUUGCUUAGUUGGUAGUGGUUGUCAUUUGUUAGUUACCCCUCUUAUGUUAUGGUCUGAUCAGCCAGUGUAUAUGUUCCCCUUUGUGUUCAUUUUGGAAGGUCUGUUAGUAGGGUUAAGUUCACUUUAGUUGAGUUCUGUUUAUUUGACCUCUUUUAUGGGCCCUGAACUUUAUUUACAUAUUUUGUUAUUUGU